GACGAACGCUGGCGACGUGCCUAAUACAUGCAAGUCGAGCGCAGGAAACUGACGGAACUCUUCGGAGGGAAGGCAGUGGAAUGAGCGGCGGACGGGUGAGUAACACGUAAGGAACCUGCCUCAAGGAUUGGGAUAACUCCGAGAAAUCGGAGCUAAUACCGGAUAGUUCAACGGACCGCAUGGUCCGCUGAUGAAAGGAGCUCCGGCGUCACCUUGAGAUGGCCUUGCGGUGCAUUAGCUAGUUGGUGGGGUAACGGCCCACCAAGGCGACGAUGCAUAGCCGACCUGAGAGGGUGAUCGGCCACACUGGGACUGAGACACGGCCCAGACUCCUACGGGAGGCAGCAGUAGGGAAUCUUCCACAAUGGACGAAAGUCUGAUGGAGCAACGCCGCGUGAGUGAUGAAGGUUUUCGGAUCGUAAAACUCUGUUGUAAGGGAAGAACGCGUACGAGAGGAAAUGCUCGUACCUUGACGGUACCUUACGAGAAAGCCACGGCUAACUACGUGCCAGCCGCCGCCGUAAUAC
rnacentral:rRNA from 1 species